UGAGCGGGAUCGCUGGGAGAGAGGUUUCGCCCCGUCUGAGAGUGACCCCCGAUCGCUGGGCAUGGCGCCGGCUCUGCGCCGGGGAGGGAACCGGCCCGGCCCGGGGAUCAGCGCAGCAGCGGAGCCGGGGAACCCGGCGGGGGAGGCCUUCAGCAGCGCCCCAGGACGCGCGGCUGCCGCCCAGAGCCCCCGGCCGGCCCCCUCGCUUCCCCCUCGGGCCGCUCCGUGCCCCGCUUAGCGCUCCCGGCCCCACCUUCCUGCUCAACAGCAGCUGAAAGGCUGUUCUGGCGCAUACAUGCCCUCACGGGGACACAAUUGCUCGAGGAAAGCAUUUCCCUUUCUUUUUCCUGGCACGGCUCUAGGCAGUUUCCUGAGAGGAGCAGUGAAGAAAGGCAGAGGCUGUGGCCGCUCGGGCAGUGACGGCAGGACGCCCUUCGCCUCGGCUUUGCGGGCUCCAGGUCUGCCCUACUUCCCUGGAGGAGUGUUUAUCCAGCUAAAGGAUUAGUGCAUCUGCAGUAUCACAGAGGGAGCAGCAGUAAGACUGAGACAAUGGACCCCAGUGAAAUGCCUUGGUGGGUGAUGACUAGAGCACAUCCAGGGGUGCUAAACAUCCAAUGAUCAACACUUAAAUAGCAUCAGGAGGAACAAAGCUGGAACAUGUUGGAUGCAGAAUCUCUUAGGAAGGGCUAUUGUCCCAUGCUGAGUUUCUCACUGCUGACAAUGCUGCAACCAGUGAGUAGCUAUGUGACAGGAGGGAGAGGAGGGUGACUCCUUGCUGGUCUGCAGAGGGGGCCUUUACUUCCCUGAUUUGCUCUGCACAGUAGAAGUAAAACAUCUUAUUUUCAUUAUUACAAGCAACUUUUUUAGUUCUGAACUGAACACUUAUGGAGGAAUGCCUAAAAAACCACUAAAGCUAUUUUUUAUUAGUUUGGAUGGAAAUCACUUUCUUCUUUUCUUCUAAUGCCUGGGAG